rnacentral:rRNA from 1 species
AUGAAAUUAAAAUUAUUAAAUAUAAUUUUAUCAAUAAUAAAUAAACUUAAUAAUAAUAAUAAUAUUAUUAUUAAUAAUCUAUUAGAUUCAUUAAUAAAUAAGAAAUUAUUAUUAAAGAAUAUAUUAUUAGAUAUAAAUAAUAAAAAAAUAAAUAAUAUAAAAAGAAUAUUAAAUAAUAAUAAUAUAAAUAUUAAUAAUAAAUUACAACAUUUAAAUAAUAUAAAUAAUUGAAAUCUACAAAUUUAUAAUUAUAAUAAAAAUAUAGAAAUUAUAAAUACUAUAAAUGAUAAAUUAAUUAAUAAAUUAUUAUAUAAAAUAAUAACUUUAAAAUUAAAUAAUAUAAAUAUUAAUAAAAUUAUUAUAAGUAAACUUAUUAAUCAACAUAGUUUAAAUAAAUUAAAUAUUAAAUUUUAUUAUUAUAAUAAUGAUAUUAAUAAUAAUAAUAAUAAUAAUAAUAAUAAUUAUUAUAUAAAUAUAAUAAAUAAAUUAAUAAAUAUUAUAAAUAAUAAUAUAAAUAAUAAUUUAUGUAAUAUUUUAAGUUAUUAUUAUAAUAAAAAAGUAACUAUUGAACCUAUUAAAUUAUCAUAUAUUUAUUUAAAUAGUGAUAUUUUUAGUAAAUAUAUUAGUUUAAAUGAUAUAGAUAAAUAUAAUAAUGGUAUCUUAACUAAUUAUCAACGUAUAUUAAAUAAUAUUAUGCCUAAAUUAAAUGAUCAUAAUAUUUCUAUAAAUUAUAUUAAUAAUAUUAAUAAUAUUAAUAAUAAUAAAUAUAAUAAUAUAAUUAAUUUAUUAAAUAAUAAUAAUAAUAUUAAUAAUUAUAAUAAUUAUAAUAAUUAUAAUAAUAAUAAUAAUAAUAAUAAUUAUAUUGGUAAUAUUAAUAAUAUUUAUAAUAAUAUAACUAUUGAGAAUAUUCCUAUAGAUAUUUUAAUAUAUAAAUAUUUAGUUGGUUGAUCUAUUAAAUUUAAAGGUAGAUUAAGUAAUAAUAAUGGUAGAACUAGUACACUUAAUUUAUUAAAUGGUACUUUUAAUAAUAAAAAAUAUUUAUGAAGUAAUAUUAAUAAUAAUUAUAAAUUAAAUUAUAUCCCUUCUAAUCAUAAUUUAUAUAAUAAUUCUAAUAUUAAUAAAAAUGGUAAAUAUAAUAUUAAAGUUAAAUUAAACUUUAUUUAA